CAAAGACACGCCUCGGGCUUUUCACUGCCAGAGAAACAGAUCUUAUACUUGAAGCCCUUUCGAAGUAAUAUCAUUAGAGAGGAUGAAAUUUGGAGCACUUUUUGUCUAUGCAAGUCACGUUUCAAAGCUUCAAUGAAGCCAUGGGAACCAUUUGAAUGCUCAGAAACAAAUGCAAUUGUUUUGUCAGCAUGUCAACACAAAGGAAAAUUAAAAACAAAACAAUACAAAGAAAAAAAACCAGAUCUUCCCUAAACAUCUUCAAUGAGAAAGGUGCUAUGGUCGACAGUUCUCUGCCUUAUUUCAUGAAUGCAUGUAACAACACUGUGAGGUGGAAUUUUCUUUUCAAUUUUGAAGAAAAGAGAGACAGAUUCCCUUCCUACUGAGCCCAGCACUGAACAAACAUUCAAUGAUGGCUGCUGAAUGGAAUGGUAUUGAAAAGUAAAAAGCUACGCUUAAGGUCUUUUGAGAAAUUAUUUUCCACGAAAAAAGGUUUCAUAAACAUUCUGCUAACAAAAAUGUUCAAACAACGCAAUCCUGAUUUGUGCUCAAGAACAACAGUGUGAACAACUGUAUACCAUCAAGAUGGGAAAGCUGCUGCUACCACUUUAAUUUACAAUUGAGAGUGACAGUUUCAAGUCUGAGAAAUCUCAGAUCCUGGGUCUGGGGUAAUAAAUGUGCAAGAUGAGCCGGAAACAUCUCAUUAUAUGAGGUAUCGAGGAAACUAUCACAAAUUACCAUGGUCAUGGCAAAAGGGCUCAAAAGCCGAUUGCAGGAGAUGCUUCCUGGACGACGAUGGGGCAAUUUAAUUAUGAAAAUGAUGGCAAUAACACAUUAUUGAGU